UGGGGAAUAUUGGGCAAUGGACGAAAGUCUGACCCAGCGACGCCGCGUGCGGGAUGAAGGCCUUCGGGUUGUAAACCGCUUUCAGCAGGGAAGAAGCGAAAGUGACGGUACCUGCAGAAGAAGCACCGGCUAACUAUGUG
rnacentral:rRNA from 1 species